rnacentral:rRNA from 1 species
CACGUAGGGCGCAAGCGUUGUCCGGAAUUAUUGGGCGUAAAGAGCUCGUAGGCGGUCUGUUACGUCUGCUGUGAAAACCCGGGGCUUAACCCUGGGCUUGCAGUGGAUACGGGCAGACUAGAGGCAGGUAGGGGAGAAUGGAAUUCCCGGUGUAGCGGUGAAAUGCGCAGAUAUCGGGAGGAACACCGGUGGCGAAGGCGGCUAUCUGGACGGUUUCUGACGCUAAGACGCGAAAGCGUGGGGAGCAAACAGG